rnacentral:lncRNA from 1 species
CACAGAAUGCCAAAUGACGGUGAUAUGAUUGCUGUGCAAAAACAUAUUUGUGCUUUCCAGACAAGAAUGCCAAGAGCUUUCUGAAAGUAGAACCUCUGGGUACUUUAUCAUGUGUUAUUUCAGGGGAGAAGGAGUGUUCUCGUCUUUCAUAGACUCAUGCUGAAUAAACAGAGAGCAACCGUCAUCUUAUUCCCAAGUGGCUUUCUGAACAUUGAUGAUGAUGAUGAAACAAAUAGUUUAAUUUUUGCAUGCUUUCUAUGUGCCAGGCAUUGUGUUAACCUUUUUAACGUGCCUUGUUUACUGACCACAAACCCUUAUGAGCUCUUUGGCACGUAGUUGUCUCACUGUCAAGGGACUGACUUUCUGUCAUAGACACAUGUUUUAUUCUUAUUAUUUGAUUGAUAGGCCUGACCUUCUGGAGCUCCUUCUUCGUUCUUAUGUCUCACAUGAUUUCCCUGUCCUGUACUUAAUACUCUCAAGUGUGAGUCUUCGAGUCUUGGCAAAGGAAGAAGCCAAGAGAACCUUUACUGUAUGGAAGGUGAACGUUCUUGGCUGUGAUGGAAGUAACUCGGCACCUACAUGCGGCUCAUUCUUUCCACCUCAUACACUGAAAAGACUUCCCAGGAAGAGCUGCCAAGACAUCCAAGGUCCGUGUGGCCUCCGUGAGCAACACUCAAGACACUUUGUGGAAGGCAUUCUUGGCCUUCAUGUAGCACUCUCAAAAGAUAAGAUAUAUUCUAUCCCUCUUCCCACCCUCACACCCCCUAUCCUCCAUUGCCAGUUUUCUUUAUUGACCUAUUAAAUAGUCACCAUCUGUCUAAAAGUGUCUUGAAGAUGUCCUUUUUGCAUUUUAUGCCUUGCUACUCAAAGUGUGGUCUGUGGACCAAAAGCAGCAUCAGUGUCACUGGGAACUUGUAAGAAAUUCAGUUCUUGGGCCUCACACCAGGGCUACUCAACCAGAAUCCACGUUUUAAUAAAAUUCUCAAGUGAUUUGUAUGCA